GAGCGUGCCUUUUGCAGAAUGAACCGGCGAGUUAUUGUAUUAUGCAAGGUUAAGUCGAACAGAUGGAGCCGAAGCGAAAGCGAGUCUGAAUAGGGCGCUUAAGUAUGAUGCAAUAGACCCGAAACCGAGUGAUCUAGCCAUGAGCAGGUUGAAGUUGGGGUAAGACCCAAUGGAGGACCGAACCGAUAUGCCCGGAAACGCGUACGGAUGACUUGUGGUUAGCGGAGAAAUUCCAAACGAACUCGGAGAUAGCUGGUUCUCCCCGAAAUAGGUUUAGGCCUAGCCUUGAUUGAAUCUGCCCGGAGGUAGAGCACUGAAUGUGCGAUGGCGUCGUCUAGAUGUACUGAGUACAAUCAAACUCCGAAUGCUGGGUAGUACUAAUCAGGAGUCACUGUAUGGGUGAUAACGUCCAUACGGGAGAGGAAAACAAUCCGGAUCGCCAGCUAAGGUCCCAAAAUUUGUGUUAAGUGGGAAAGGAUGUAGAGUUGUCAAAACAGCUAGGAGGUUGGCUUAGAAGCAGCCACCCUUUAAAGAGUGCGUAAUAGCUCACUAGUCGAGUGACACUGCGCCGAAGAUGUACCGGGGCUAAACACAAUACCGAAGCUGCGGACUUGCACGUAAGUGUAAGUGGUAGGGGAGCGUUCUAAGGGCGUUGAAGGUAGACCGUGAGGACUAUUGGAGCGCUUAGAAGUGAGAAUGCCGGUGUGAGUAACGAAAAUUGGGUGAGAAUCCCAUUCACCGUUUGACUAAGGGUUCCUGGGUAAAGUUCGUCUUCCCAGGGUAAGUCAGGACCUAAGAUGAGGCUGAAAAGCGUAGUCGAUGGACAACAGGUUGAUAUUCCUGUACCACCUAUAUGACUGAAGGAGUGACGGAGAAAGCUAACGAGGGCCAGUUAAUGGAUUCUGGUCUAAGUGCGUAGGCUAGUAUGUUGGCAAAUCCGCAAUACUAUAAUAGCUGAAACAUGAUGGGGAAGUAAGUCUUCGGACGAGCGAACUCUCGUGAUGCUAUGCUUCCAAGAAAAGCUUCUAGGGCUAAUUGUAUAGGUGCCUGUACCGACAACCGACACAGGUGGUCAAGGAGAGUAUCCUAAGGUGAGCGAGAGAACUAUGGUUAAGGAACUCGGCAAAAUGACCCCGUAACUUCGGGAGAAGGGGUGGUCUAGCGAUAGACCCGCAGUGAAUAGGCCCAGGCAACUGUUUACCAAAAACACAGGUCUCUGCUAACACGAAAGUGGAUGUAUAGGGGCUGACGCCUGCCCAGUGCUGGAAGGUUAAAGAGAUUAGUUAGUAUGACGCAAGUCGAUAAUACGAAGCUUUGAACUGAAGCCCCAGUGAACGGCGGCCGUAACUAUAACGGUCCUAAGGUAGCGAAAUUCCUUGUCAGGUAAGUUCUGACCCGCACGAAAGGCGUAAUGAUCUGGGUACUGUCUCAACCAUAGACUCGGUGAAAUCUUAAUACCUGUGAAAAUGCAGGUUACCCGCGACUGGACGGAGAGACCCCGUGGAGCUUUACUGUAGCUUGAUAUUGGAAUUCGGUAAACUAUGUAGAGCAUAGGUGGGAGACUAUGAGACUAAGGCGCCAGCCUUAGAGGAGUCACCAUUGGAAUACCACCCUUAGUUUAUUGGAUUUCUAACCUAGAGCCAUUAUCUGGUUCAGGGACAGUGUCUGGUGGGCAGUUUGACUGGGGCGGUCGCCUCCUAAAAUGUAACGGAGGCGUUCAAAGGUUCCCUCAGAAUGGUUGGAAAUCAUUCAAAGAGCGUAAAGGUAUAUAGGGAGCUUGACUGCGAGACCUACAAGUCAAGCAGGUGCGAAAGCAGGACUUAGUGAUCAGGCGAUUCAGAAUGGAAUGGUCGUCGCUUAACGGAUAAAAGUUACCCCGGGGAUAACAGGCUGAUACCACCCAAUAGUUCACAUAGACGGUGGUGUUUGGCACCUCGAUGUCGGCUCGUCACAUCCUGGAGGUGGAUUCGCUUCCAAGGGUUGGGCUGUUCGCCCAUUAAAGUGGCACGCGAGCUGGGUUCAGAACGUCGUGAGACAGUUCGGUCCCUAUCCGUCGUGGGCGCAGGAAAAUUGAGGAGAGCUAUCCUUAGUACGAGAGGACCGGGAUGGACCUACCUCUGGUGUAUCUGUUGUCACGCCAGUGGCAGUGCAGAGUAGCUAUGUAGGGAAGGGAUAAACGCUGAAAGCAUCUAAGCGUGAAGCCCUCUCCAAGAUGAGUUUUCCCAUUGUUUAACAAGUAAAAUCCCAGAUAGACUAACUGGUUGAUAGGCUAGAAGUGGAAGUGUAGCGAUACAUUGAGCGGACUAGUACUAAUAGAUUGAGGAUUUAAUCCC
rnacentral:rRNA from 1 species